UACGGGGGGGGGCAAGCGUUGUUCGGAAUUACUGGGCGUAAAGGGCUCGUAGGCGGCCAACUAAGUCGAACGUGAAAUCCCUCAGCUUAACUGGGGAACUGCGUCCGAUACUGAUUGGCUUGAAUCCGGAAGAGGGAUGCGGAAUUCCAGGUGUAGCGGUGAAAUGCGCAGAUAUCAGGAGGAACACCGGUGGCGAAGGCGGGUCUCUGGGCCGAUGACUGACGCUGAGACGCGAAAGCGUGGGGAGCAAACAGG
rnacentral:rRNA from 1 species